rnacentral:lncRNA from 1 species
AUUUAUGAUUUUAAUUGAGGGAACCCACAAAAAAGUCCAUUGCUGGUUACAGGUGGAUUCGGUAAUUAUUAAAACCGGCAGCAGGUGAGUUUGACAAUUUAAAUUUUUUACGGUUGUGGAUUUUUGGUAAUGACAAACCAACAACAGGUGGUACCCAUUGUCAUUCCUAGUCAUGAGUUAGAGAUGGAGGGUGUCGAUUACAAUGUUUGUAAGUGAAAUUGAAAAAAAAAAAUUGUACAAGUGAAAUAGCACAUCAUAGCUAGUAGUUAAAAAAAUUUAAUUACUAGAAAAAAAAUUUACCACUAGGACAAUAUAUAUUUUUUUAAUCUUUUAUGUCUUUUGGACUAAAUUUUAUGCUUCUUUUAGUACAUAUAGGAUAUAUUUGAUUGAUUGGAUUUGAUUAGAUUAUAUUUUGAUUAUGUUGUAUUUUGUAUACUAGAGGUUGGACUAAAUUAGUACCUUGCAUAUAUAAUUUAACAUUAAAUUAUUGGAAAAAUAAUAAAAAUGGACUACAAGUUUAGAUGUUAAUUUAAAUUGGGAAAUUAUCUAUGCUCCACUUUUUUUUGUUAUAUGUACAUCUAACCACUACAAAAUUUUAGCAUAUUCUUUGCACCACCUUUGUUUUUUAACUUCUAUUAAUCAAUCACUUUGACACUAAGAAUUUAAAUAAAAUAACCAUUCUACCUCUACAUGAAUUAGCAGAUCAUUUUAUCCUACAAAAUU